CGGCGGACGGGUGAGUAACACGUGGGUAACCUACCUAUAAGACUGGGACAACUUCGGGAAACCGGAGCUAAUACCGGAUAAGAUAUCGAACCGCAUGGUUCGAUAGUGAAAGAUGGUUUUGCUAUCACUUAUAGAUGGACCCGCGCCGUAUUAGCUAGUUGGUGAGGUAACGGCUCACCAAGGCAACGAUACGUAGCCGACCUGAGAGGGUGAUCGGCCACACUGGAACUGAGACACGGUCCAGACUCUACGGGAGGCAGCAGAG
rnacentral:rRNA from 1 species